rnacentral:tRNA from 1 species
UCCCUGGUGGUUCAGUGGUUAAGAAUCCACCUUGUGAAGGAGAGGACUCGGGUUUGAUCCCUGGUCAGGGAA